CCACAAACCCAUUCUCCCCAAUUAAGGUGCCACCAACCUCCUGUGCUUGACACGACUAGUAGAAACAUUAAGUGAAGAAGCUAGCUAGCUAUAGAAAUUGCACAGUAGCCAUUUCUAUACAGAAGAAACACAACAUAAACGAAUACAUCCGCCUCUUCAGAAUAAUGAAAUCCGAUUGGACGCUCGUUUCAAUGCUCAAAUGCUAUUAGCUGAAUGCAAUGUCAACAAAACUCAGUUUGGCAUUCUUGGUCCUCUCAUUGGAUCCUCUUCAGCUGGUGCAAUUGUGCUUUGGUCCCGGGAGCAACAGGAAGCAGAGUGGAUUUUCAAUGGAUUUGGACCAAGUCAAGACAUCAAGAUCGGGACUAGAGGUACACAUUUCAAGAUACCAUAAACCUCUGGCCUGUCAAAGAUUAAUUCAGCGUUGAAAAAUGGAAGGACUGCAUGGUGUUGUAGCUACAUCUAAUCUAAUCAAUUUAAGCACACAGGUUUGAAGUGUCUUUUUAUAAAAUAAAUCAUCAUAAUGUACUGUCUGUGGGAUGUCACGUCACUACAUUUCCCCUGAAUACGAAAUGGAAAGGCUUGACAGAAAAUAAGGAGAAACGGGUUUUUGGGUGAUGGAUGCUCCUCAAGGAAAUUCAUUGCAGUUUGCUAAUGGAUAAAAAAGACCUUUAGGGGGUGCAAAUGUUAGUGUAUUUUUUUCUUAAAAACACUUGAUGUAAAAGUCUAAACAGUGAUAGUGUUAAUCAUA